rnacentral:rRNA from 1 species
UACGUAGGGGGCAAGCGUUGUCCGGAAUCAUUGGGCGUAAAGCGCGUGUAGGCGGUCCGGUAAGUCUGCUGUGAAAGUCGGGGGCUCAACCCUCGGAUGCCGGUGGAUACUGUCGGGCUUGAGUACGGAAGAGGCGAGUGGAAUUCCUGGUGUAGCGGUGAAAUGCGCAGAUAUCAGGAGGAACACCGGUGGCGAAGGCGGAUCUCUGGGCCUUACCUGACGCUGAGGCGCGAAAGCUAGGGGAGCAAACGGG